rnacentral:rRNA from 1 species
ACGAACGCUGGCGGCGUGCUUAACACAUGCCAGUCGAACGGAAGGGCCCUGCUUGCAGGGUCCUCGAGUGGCGAACGGGUGAGUAACACGUGGGUGAUCUGCCCUGCACUUCGGGAUAAGCCUGGGAAACUGGGUCUAAUACCGGAUAUGACCUUCCAUGUAGUGUGGGGGGUGGAAAGAUUUAUCGGUGGGGGAUGAGCCCGCGGCCUAUCAGCUUGUUGGUGGGGUAAUGGCCUACCAAGGCGUCGACGGGUAGCCGGCCUGAGAGGGUGGACGGCCACAUUGGGACUGAGAUACGGCCCAGACUCCUACGGGAGGCAGCAGUGGGGAAUAUUGCACAAUGGGCGGAAGCCUUAUGCAGCGACGCCGCGUGGGGGAUGACGGCCUUCGGGUUGUAAACCUCUUUCGACAGGGACGAAGCUUCGGUGACGGUACCUGUAGAAGAAGCACCGGCUAACUACGUG